rnacentral:rRNA from 1 species
AUUGAACGCUGGCGGCAGGCCUAACACAUGCAAGUCGAGCGGAUGAAGGGUGCUUGCUCCUUGAUUCAGCUGCCGACGGGUGAGUAAUUCCUAUGAAUCUGCCUUGUAUUUUUUGAUAACGUCCUUAAGCGGGCGCUAAUACCGCAUACGUCCUUAUGUCGAACGGGGGGGAUCUUCGGACCUCCCGCUAUCAGAUGAGCCUAUGUCGGGUUAGCUAGUUGGUGGGGUAAAGGCCUACCAAGGCGACGAUCCGUAACUGGUCUGAGAGGAUGAUCAGUCACACUGGAACUGAGACACGGUCCAGACUCCUACGGGAGGCAGCAGUGGGGAAUAUUGGACAAUGGGCGAAAGCCUGAUACAGCCAUGCCGCGUGUGUGAAGAAGGUCUUAGGAUUGUAAAGCACUUUAAGUUGGGAGGAAGGGCAGUAAGUUAAUACAUUGCUGUUUUGACGUUACCAAAAGAAUAAGCACCGGCUAACUUCGUG